rnacentral:miRNA from 1 species
AUUGUGCAGACCCAGACCCAG